rfam:Picea glauca, whole genome shotgun sequence.
AUGUACAUGCCUACAACAUUAAUACAUCAGAUCUCAUCAAAACUCUAUAGUUAAGAGUACGUGGGCUAGAGUAGUAUUGGGAUGUGUGACCUCUUAGGAAGUCCUAGUUUUUUACAUG